GAUGAACGCUGGCGGCGUGCCUAAUACAUGCAAGUCGAGCGAACGGACGAGAAGCUUGCUUCUCUGAUGUUAGCGGCGGACGGGUGAGUAACACGUGGAUAACCUACCUAUAAGACUUGGAUAACUUCGGGAAACCGUAGCUAAUACCGGAUGAUAUUUUGAACCGCAUGGUUCAAAAGUGAAAGACGGUCUUGCUGUCACUUAUAGAUGGAUCCGCGCUGCAUUAGCUAGUUGGUAAGGUAACGGCUUACCAAGGCAACGAUGCAUAGCCGACCUGAGAGGGUGAUCGGCCACACUGGAACUGAGACACGGUCCAGACUCCUACGGGAGGCAGAAGUAGGGAAUCUUCCGCAAUGGGCGAAAGCCUGACGGAGCAACGCAGCGUGAGUGAUGAAGGUCUUCGGAUCGUAAAACUCUGUUAUUAGGGAAGAACAUAUGUGUAAGUAACUGUGCACAUCUUGACGGUACCUAAUCAGAAAGUCACGGCUAACUACGUG
rnacentral:rRNA from 1 species